rnacentral:lncRNA from 1 species
AUGUUUCUAUUACUCUGCAUAAAGGUAAUUGAACAAAACAUCUCAUUGAUCGUUUUGUUAGUUAUCUAUCUUUAUCUCCCAGAUAUUCUGUUUUUAUUUCUUUGCUUGCUUCGGUCUCUAUUCCUCAUACUAUCACAGAGGCACUUGCUUAUUUCGACUGGAAGUAGAUGAUGGAUAAUGAGAUGUCUGCACUGCGUGCUUUGGAUUCUUGGGACCUUGUUCUGCUUCCUCCAAAUAAGUCUAUUGUUGGUUGUCGCUGGGUUCAUACUAUUAAGUGUUCUCUUGAUGGGCAGGUUGAUAGAUUGAAGGCUCAGCUGGUUGCAAAAGAUUUCACUCAGGUGUUUGGCCAAGAUUAUCUUGAUACAUUCUCACCUGCGGCUAAACUCAUAUCUGUUCGUCUUCUCCUAAGCUUAACUGCUAUCUUUCACUGGCCUUUUCAUCAACUGGAUAUUAAGAAUGCAUUUCUGCAUAGUGAUCUUCACGAGGAGGUUUAUAUGGAGCAACCUACUGGGUGUGUUGCUCAAGGGGAGUAUGUAUGUCGGUUGAAGAAGUAAUUAUAUGGCUUGAAGCAAUCUCCUCAGACCUGGUUUAGGAAGUUCAGCUCUGUUAUUUUUCAGUUCGGCCUUCUUAGAAGUACUUCUGAUCAUUCGAUUUUGUAUAGGUAUUCCGAGUUAGGCAAGCGCAUUCUUUUGAUUGUCUAUGUAGAUGACAUGGUUAUUACUGGUGAUGAUAGUGAUGGCAUUACUGCUCUGAAGAGUUAUUUACAUCAGCAAUUUCAGACCAAAGAUCUGGAAGAGUUACGAUACUUUCUUGGUAUUGAGAUUGUUUGGUCUCAUCGGGGUAUAGUUGUGAAUCAGAGAAAGUAUGUCCUUGACAUGUUGGAGGAGACAGGUAUAUUAGGGUCUCGUCUUGUUGAUACUUCUAUGGAUCCUAAUGUACGACUUGUUCCUGAUCAGGGAGAACCUUUGUCAGAUCCUGAAAGAUAUCGGAGAUUAGUUGGAAAACUGAAUUAUCUUACAGUCACCAGGUCAGAUAUAUCUUUUGCUGUUAGUGUCGCCAGCUAGUUUUUUGACUCUCCUACUGUUUGUCAUUAGGAGGUUGUUAUUCGCAUUCUUAGAUAUCUAAAGAGUGCAUCAGGCAAAGGGUUAUUUUAUCAGGAUCGUGGUCAUAGCCAGGUAGUUGGCUAUUAAUGCAUGUCAUAGCAAAUCAAAAUUAACCCUACUCACUACUAUGUAGAUAGGAUGAGUCGGAAUCGUAUCCAUAGAGAUCUUAGAUCGAUUAUUUCAAAAAUAUAAACGAAAAAAAUAAUAGAUUGCAAGAAACUAAGAAUGAAACAUAGAGAUUGCAAUAAAAAUAUUUUUUAUUGAUCAAAUAAAAAAACAUACAUAAUGAAAAAAAUAAAAGUGCAAUAUAAAACAACUAAAUCAAGUUGAACUUCUCAUUAUGCCCGAUGGUGGAUGUGCCUCCUUGAAUCUUUCGUCUUCCUUCGUGCAGACAGCGGUAGGAUGACGGGAAGGUUUGGUUUAGGAACUCCAAGGAAGAAAAAUAGAUAGAAGAGGGUAUGAGAAUAUGAAAAGGAUAGCAACACUAGGAUUAGGAUCUCUCCUAGAUUUGAUGGAAGACGUGCUAGGAUUAGGAUCUCCUCUAGACUUUUUAGGAUGUGGAGAAUAGAUUUAUGAAAGAAUAUGGUGUCGUGCUAGGGUUAGUACCUCCCUUAGACUUAUGGAGAAGAGAAAAAGAGAGAUGGGGGCAGCAGCUUGGAGAGAAACUUAGACGUUGGCUUGAUGGAAAGAGAGAAAGGGAAGAGCUUUGAUGGAGGAGAGGAGGAAGAGAGAUUGAAGAAGAUGAAGAACCCCAUAAGGGAGCUGAUGGAUUGAGAAAGAAGGGUUGGGAUGUAUUUAUAGAGAGGAGACUAGAGUUUCAUGAAAAGAGAGGUGGGAGCAUGAAUAAGGACCCUUGGACCUUCAUAUUGCUUCUCCUCAGUUGAUCAAUAAGUCGCAUUCACACUUGGAUCUUCAUGAAGAGUGAUCUUUUAAUCUGAGCCCUUGAGAUUUAAGUCAUGUUUAUACUUGGUUCCAUCUAUCUUCUAAUCUAGAUCCUUGAUUGGAGAGGUUACUUCUUGACUCUUGAUCUUUAAGUCGCAUUCACACUUGAGUAGGAGCUGAUUGCCUGAUUCACUCAAUUUUGAUCCGAUUUGAGUCCAAUUUGAAUCGUAUGAAUCCAAACUCCUAAUUACCUGCAAAAUAGAUUAGAGAGCAUCAAAAUUCAAUAAAAUAACAUCAAUUAUCAUAAUAUUUAAUAUUUUUAGUGACUUAAAUUAAGUAUUCAUCACACCCUCCAACUUAAAAUUUAUUCAUCCUUAAGUAAAAUAGAUACAUUAGCAUUGUGUACCAAAUUAUCCUUGAAUUGAAAGUUAUCCUAAGCAUUUCUAACUAUAGUGGAUACUGGCUAGACCAUUAAAGAGGUACUUCAUUGGAUUACUAAUUUAACUUAAUUGGUGGUUGAGUAUUAGUCAUAAAAAUUUUAGAGAUCUUUCACCAACUCUCCACUAUACUCUUUAAGUCCUCUAACUUCUUGAUGUGAGCAGAAUUUAUUGUCUUCUUACAAUUUAGUCCCUUAUUGUCUAUUAUUUUAUUUUAUUUUAUUUUUUUUUCAAAAAGAGUCUAGUGCAAUAUCUUAGCCUCUUGAGCCUUCUAACUGAUCCUUGUAGCAAGCUUUCAGCCAAUGACUCUCAAACCAGUUAGCUUUAGGGCAUUAGGUGUAGAACACCCCUCAGACUUACUGACUCGAGUCCAAAAAAAACUAUGAGGUGAGACAGACUCUAUAAUAGUCUUUUAGCAUCCCCACCUUUUAACGCGAACCACAAUGCUGAGGCGAAGGGGUCCAAUUACUCAGUGAGAUAAUGCUAAAUCAUUUUUUUUGUAAUAAAAAAUUUUUUUGCAUACCUUGACCUUUCCACCCAUACCCCCAUGAAGCAGAUUCUUCAUUGAGAUGGUGGGAAGAGGGUUUUAAAAAUAUUCCAAAAUUUGGUCUGAUCUAAGCACUAUCAUUCAUUGGAUUUUCUCAAUAAUUUGCCCCUCAGUGUCUCUAAAAUUAUCUAGACCGUUAAUCACUCAUUAAUUAGGAUGCCUGAUUAACUUUAAAUCGAGAUAAAAUUUGGAUACACAAAGCUAAUUAUUUUUUAUCAUACUUGAGAACUCAAUUAAAUUAGUUUUUCUCUCCCUCAACUUAAUUUCUAUUGUCCCUAAUGUAAGAAGAGAAUCAUAAUAAAAUAUGAUAAAGAUACCACCUGAGUUUAAUAUGCGCAAUCAUUGUCAAGAGAUCCUUCAUUGUUGGGUGUGGUGUAUUUUUGAUUUCAACUGGUGUGAACGUGACUCUUCUCUUAACUUCGCUAGUAGCAUCACUUAUCCACUCCACUAUGGAGAUUCAACUUUGCUAAUUGUCUUUCUAGAGAUUUUUAAAAAUGAAAAGAAACUAAAAAUAUUGCAUAAGCUGGGUUGCCUCCCAACAAGUGCUAAGUUUAACGUCUUCAGCCAGACGCUAUGAGAGAGUCCCACCUAUAAUCAACUUGGGUAUGUUCCUCAAGGUUUCAAAAAGACAAGACCAAUCAGGAGGCCUCGUUAUCAUAGUCAAAAAAUAUUCGUGGAAUGUUCUACAACGAUUAGCCCAGAUCAAUAGAAUGUACUGGACAAGCGCGCAAUACAGGGACUAACAAUAUUCUCAUAAUUUUUCUGAUGACUAGAAAGGGAUUGUGUUUGUUGAAUCGAGAUUAGGGUUGGUAGUUAAGAGUUUCUUUAAUUAUAACCUGAUCUACUCUAAUCCCUAUCUCGGGUAUGAUUUGUUUCGACAUCAUCUCUUCCCAAUCUAUAGCAUGGUAUUUUUUUUAAAAUUAAUACUAAAUUAAUCUCCGGCAAUGACGUCAAAAUUUGAUGCAUAUCGUAGCACAUUAAAAUUAACCCUACUCACUACUAUGUAAAUAGGGUGAGUCGGAAUCGUAUCCACGGGAUCUUAAAUCGAUUAUUUCGAAAAUAUAAACGAAAAAAUAAUAAAUUACAAGAAACUAAGAAUGAAACAUGGAGAUUACAAUAAAAAUAUUUUUUAUUGAUCAAAUAAAGAAGCAUACAUAAUAAAAAAAAUAAAAGUUUGAUACAAGACAACUAAACCAAGUUAAACUUUUCGCUAUGCCCGAUGGUGGAUGCCUCUCCUUGAAUCCUUCGUAUUCCUCUAUGUAGACAGCGACAGGAUGGCUGGAAGGCUUAGUCUAGGAACUCCAAGGAAGGAAGGUAGAUAGAAGAGGGUAUGGAAAUAUGGAAAGGAUAGUGGUAUUAGGAUUAGGAUCUCUCUUAGAUUUGAUGGAAGGCAUGCUAGGGUUAGACCUCCCCUAGACUUGUUGAAAUGUGGAGAAUGGAUCUAUGGAAUAAUAUGGUGUCGUGCUAGGGUUAGUACCUCUCCUAAAUUUAUAAGGAAGAAAGAAAGAGAGAUGGGGGCAGCAGCUUGGAGAGAAACUUAGGCAUUGGCUUGAUGGAAAGAGAGAAAGGGAAGAGCUUUGAUAGAGGAGAGAAAGAGAAAGAGAGGGGAGAAGAUGAAGAACCCCACAAGGGGGCUGAUGGAUUGAGAAAGGAGGGUUGGGGUGUAUUUAUAGAGAGAAGGCUAGGGUUUCAUGAAAAGAGAGGUGAGAGCAUGAAUAAGGAUCCUUGGAUCUUCAUGAAUAAGGAUCCGUUGAUCAAUAAGUCGCAUUCAUACUUAGAUCUUCAUGAAGAGUGAUCUUUUAAUCUAAGCCCUUGAGAUUUAAGUCAUGUUCACACUUAGUUUCAUUUAUUUUCUAAUCUGAGCUCUUGAUUGGAGAGGUUGCUUCUUGACCCUUAAUCUUUAAGUCACAUUCAUACUGGAAUGGGAGCUAGUUGCCAGGUUCACUCAAAUCUGAUCCAAUUUGAGUCUAAUUUAAAUCGUAUGAACUCAAACUCCCAAUUAUCUACAAAAUAAAUUAGAGAGUAUCAAAUUCUUAAUAAAUAAAAUGCAAUUAAAUAGAAUUAUGUGGCUUUAGUGACUUAAUUCAAAUGUUCAUCACACCCCUCGACUUGAACUUUACUCGUCCUCAAGUAAAAUAGAUAUAUUAGCAUUAUGCAUCAAAUUAUCCUGGAAUCGAAAGUUAUUCUAGGCAUUCCUAACGGUAGCUGAUACCCAGCUAGAUCAUUAAAGAGAAACUUCAUUGGAUUAUCAAUUUGACCCAAUUAGUGGUUAAGUAUUAGCCAUAGAAAUUUUUAGAGAUCUUCUUUCACCAACUUCCCACUCUAUUUUUUAAGUCCUUUAACUUAUUGUGAGUUUGGUGUGGUGUCUUUUUGUAGUUUAUUUUCCUUAUUCUCUUUUUUUUUUGAAAGAAUAUUUUCAUGUACAGUCGGUGCAAUGUCCUAACCCCUUAAGUUUUUUAAUUGACUCUUGCAGCGAGCUUUAGGCUAACGAUUUUCAAACCAGUUGGUUUUAGGAUAUUAGGUAUCAAACAUUCCUCAGACUUACUGACUUGAGUCAAAAAGGCUACGAGUUAAGACUGACUCUACAAGACGUUUCUUCACAUUCUCAUCUUUUGACGCGAACAACAACGCUUACUUAGGUGAAGAGGUCCAGUUACUUAGUGAGAAAUGCUAAAAACCUAUUUUAUUAAGGCAAACUUUUUGCAUACUGACAUUUACACCCUUACCCCCAUGAAGCAGAUUCUUCAUCAAGAUAGACAAGAAGAGGGUUCUAGAAUUACUCCAAAAUUCAUUUUGGUCUAAAUCCUAUUAUUUAUUGUGUUCUUAAUAAUUUCCUCCACAAUAUCUCUAAAAUUAUCUAGACCAUCAAUUACUUAUUGAUUAGGAUGUUUGAUUAACUCCAAAUCGAGAUAAAAUUUAGGUACACAGCUAAUUAUUUCUGACCAUACUCGAGGACUUAAUUAAAUUAGUUAUCCUCCCUCUCCAACAUAAUUUUCAUUAUCCCCAAUGGAAGAAGAGAAUUAUAACAUAACAGGAAAGGAUACACCUGAGUUCAAUAUAUGCAUUCAUUGUUGAAAGAUCCUUCAUUAUUGGGUGUGGUGUGUUCUUGAUUUCAGUUGGUAUGAACGUGGCUCUUCCCUCAACUUGGCUAGUAGCAUGGUUCGUCGUACCGGGCCGAACCGCCCGGUACGGGGUGUACCGAGCUGGACCAGUCCCUUACUGGUCCGGUUCGGGCCUGUUUUUCGGAAAAGGACCCGGAACCGCAUCGAAUCGAGCGGUUCGGUGCAGUUCGGGCCCAUAUCGCCCGGAACCGAGCGGUACGGCUCGGUUCUGGAGCGAUUUGGGGUGAACCGAACCGUACCGCCCAUGAAAAAGGGGGGGAGGGGGGAAGGUGGCUCAAUUUGAUGAGGAUCUUGUGUUAUUUUCUUGGUAUCUGAAAUAAAAUGAAACCUCAAGCAUAUCUCUCUCUCUAUCAUAUCUGUUAUACCAUCUGUCUUGUAGUAUCCGAUAUGAUGUAUUAUAUCAUAUUGAUAUGUUAUUUCAUAUUAUACCAAUAUUUGGUAUGUUGUUUUGUACCAAAUUGAAAUAUAUAUCGGUAUUAUAAUAGAAUGGUGUCAGUAUAAGAUCCGGUACCGAGAUUGUAAAGCUUGUACUAUGUAUUAGUUCAUCGAAAUCCAACUCGUAAGAUGAAUUUGAUUUGGUUUUUCAUCACCAAACAGAUGGAAAUGCCUAGGGAAGCAUUUUGAGAACUUGAGAGGAAUCUGAAAGAAAAUUUUGAACCUCUGAUAGCUAGUAAUGGACGUUUUCCGCCCCAACAAUUACUAAGCAUUUACCAUUACCCUUCUCCCUGUUUGGUACCAUGACUCCUUGCUCAUUUAACCCUGUGCAUUCGUACCGUUUUAAGUAUUCGUUUCUACAACAAUUAAUCGCAGUUGUAACAGAUAGUUCAGAGGCCUCAACAAGAUUUUAAAAUAAAAAUCUCAGUAUUAUAAUCACACAACAUUCAGCAUUUAUGAUUAAAAAAGAAACAUGGGCAAUAUCUAAUAUUCCAAUUAGUAACUCAAAAUGGCAUCAUAAAAUUGAAUAAUAUCUGGUUGUAUCAAUAUCAUAAAUCUUGUGAUGCUAGUAGUGGUAUAUAUGUCUCAGAGUUAAUGAAGAAAUUCUUAUGGUGGAAUCAUAAAAUUGAAUAACUUCUGGUUGCAUAAUGUUGUGAUGCUGGAAGCUUAAACUGUUAUAUGCGAUAUCAUAUAGGAUCACAAUUAGAGCAAGGCUUUUCAUAAAUAAGUCAAAUAGGAGAGAGUUCAGGUGUUUUACCACCUUAAUUUUAAUCAAGUUAAAUGGUUGAGGGCUUUAUGAUGUGUUCUAAAUCUUCCAAACCCAUUUUCUUCUGCAUAAAACUGAUUCGAUUGUAACAUAUGGCUAUUAAGAGUCUUUGUACCGUAAUCUAANNNNNNNNNNNNNNNNNNNNUAAAAAUCGAAGAAAAUAGUGUACCGGUACCGAACCGGUAUGCCCAAACAUACUGUGUGUCGGUACGGUACCGGUACGGUACCAUACCGAUUCGAGACCGACACGCCGUCCGGUACCGGUACAGCGAACCUUGGCUAGUAGCAUCACUCAUCCACUCUACUAUAAAGAUUCAACUUGGCUAAUUAAUUUUUUAGAAAUUUUUACAAAAUAAAAAAAACUAAAAAUAUUGCAUAAGCUGGGUUGCCUCCCAACAAGUGCCAAGUUUAACAUCUUCAGUCGGAUGCUGUGAGGGAGUCCCACCUAUAACCAACUUGGGUAUGUCCCUCAAUAUUUCAAAAGGAUAAGACCAAUCAGGAAGCCUUAUCAUCAUAGCCAAAAAAUAUUCAUGAAAUGCUCUACAACGAUUAGCCCAGACCAAUAGAAUGUACUGGGCAAGCACGCAAUAUCAGGGACUAACAAUAUUGUCAUAAUUUUUUUAAUGAUCAGAAAGAGAUUGUGUUUGUUGAACUGAGAUUAAGGUUGGUAGUUUAAGAGAUUCUUUAAUUAUAACCUGAUCUACUCUAAUCUCUGUCUCGGAUAUGGCAUGUUUCGACAUCAUCUCUUCCCAAUCUAUAGCAUGGUAUUUUUUCAAAUUAACACUAAAUCUAUCUCCAUACAUCGUUUUAACAUCAUAGAAAGAUUUUGGAGACAGUCCUCAAAAGUAGUGCCAAAAAUAAAUAAAUUAAUCAUAAAAAUCUCAAUAUCAUUAUCCCUCAUGUCAGAGAUAUCCCACCCAACAGCUUCUUUAUGUGCUUUUAGAAUACCUACAAGUUGGGCUUCCUGAUUAGGGAUCACUAGAAGGGUGUCAGUGGGUGCGUCAGGAAGUGGCUUCAGCUCUAGAGCAGGUGGUGAUUUUAAUAAGAGAGCUAUUAGGGAGUUAGGUGAUGGUUCAUAUUUUUCGAUCUAAAAUAAGAUGGUUUUAAGAUAGGGCGCAUCGACUAGAUCAUUUAUUUUUGUGAUAUAUCCAUCGAUAUCAAAAUCAUCCACCUCGAAGUGAGCUAAAUAGGGAUCUAAAGAAUCCUAGAGAAAAAUUAUGGGUGUAACUUCCUCUAUUAUGUUAUUCAUUUAUGGUCCUUAAGAAGUCUCAAUUAAUUUUAUUUCAUCAAAAAUUCCUCCUUUUCUAUUAUAAGGAAUGGAUGAUUUUAGGACACUUAAGAAUGGGAUCAUAGGUAGGUAAGGUGAUGAUGGAAUUUGUUCAUUCCACCAUUUGAAUUUUUCUCUAAAUAUUUUUACCUUAGUCGAAUUAUCUAUGCUGGUCAUUUUGGUUGUGCGGGAUUGUUUUAUUAUCAGUUCAUUUUCGAGAGUCAUAAUCGAUUGUUCAGAAAAAAUUACAGGGACAUUAAAAUUUCUAGCCAGGUAUUGUCCCUCUGGAUUUCUCUCAAACUGACUAAACAGCUCUCUUUCCUCUUCCUUACUGAUUGUAAUUACUGAUUGAUCGACUUGAAUUUCUAUUUUGACUAAGGAUUGUGUAAAGGAGUGAAGAAGCUGAUUGGUGCUUUCAAUCCUAUAUAGUGCUUGCAAAACUUUUUCUUCAAAUGAUGAGCUAUAGAUAGUUGGAGAAGGUUGAUAUUGCGAAUAAGGCAUAUCGUAAUAGGGUGCUUCUACAAACGUAGAUCGUUGUGUUGUCGGGAUAACCACUGAUUGUGGUUUCUAUAAAAAAUUUGAUUGAACCCCCCAACUUAGAUUGUAGUCGUUAAAGAAUGGGUUAUUUCCUAGUUCGUAGGCUAUUUGGGUUUGAUCUUAAUGAAUUUGCUCAUACCUAAACUCAAAAAAAUUGGUGCACGGCUGGACAUUCAACUUGUGUAGGAAGAAAAGAUGUAGAGAGUGUCUAAUAGCUGGUACAGAUCUAAUGUAUGAGACAGCUCAUCCUUUGUAUUGUUGAAAUCUAUAUUUCUAGCACAGAUCUAAUUUAUCGGAUUGUUCUGAUUAUUUUAAUAUACAAUCAAGGGGUCCAGAUCAAAACAAUCGCUUUCUGAAUUUUUUUUUUUCAGAAAGAGGGAGAGAAGAAGAAGAAAAGAUGGAGAAAGAGAGUUCUAAAGAUGAGAAUCUCAAGAGAGUUCUAGACCUAGAGACGAUAGAUGAGAAGGUUGUUUUAAUUAUUUUUUUUUAUUUUUUAAACAAGUGAUGCAAUCAAAUCAACUCUAUCCUAAGAUUAUCCUAGAUCUAGACAGCUUCUAACUGUCAAAGUCACCUUCGAGCACUCCAAGUAAAAGAUUAGCCACUCAACUGGCCAAGUGUAAGAUUGGUGGGGGUCCUCCCAUUGCUUUCUUUAGACACCAACUAAGUUGGUCAGAUCAGCAAACAAAACUAAUUAAUAAACCACCUUCUUUCGGGACGUAAUCUCUGAACCAUUUUUUUAGACACCAAUUAAACUGACCAAUCUUAACCCGAUCUAAUUCUUAGGAUUCUUUAUCCUAUUGCGCUCGAGAGUCCUUAGGGGCCAACGUCUAAUUAAUUUUAAGUUAGAGGCUUAGAUCAAUGCAAAUGCAGGAUUGUGAUUUAUUGGCCAAGGAAGGGUGAUCAAAUCUCCACCUUGUUUAAUUGGGUUAAGUGCCUUUAAAGUAUUUUAUGAAAAUAUGCAAUGCAAAAAGAAAAGGUGUCCAAAUAUGUUAAGUAGCUUUUAAGAUUUAAUUAGUUUAUUUAUAUUAGUCAAGUGUUAUGUGGUGUUUUUGUAUUCUUUUUAUUUUAUGUUAUCUUUAAGCAAGAAGGAAUAAGAGGUAAGUUUUAAAUUAGGUUAAUUAGGUAUGAGAAGAUCUAGUGAAUCUAACUAAAUGGAAAGUAAAUAAUGUUAAGAUUAAAAGGCAAGUAGAUAACCUACAAAUAAAGUAACAAAUCAAAUCUAUUUUUAGGACAAUAAAUUAUUUUAAGCUAUGGAAAAUAAUAAAUCACUAGGAAUAAUAAGCAGUAAUAAAUAAGAUAACUACUUAACUAUGCAAUUAAGGUAAUCUUAUAGUUAAGAAUAAAAGGUAACUAUAUAAUCUAAAUAAAAGGCAAGGAGUCUAAUCUAUUUAGAAAAUAGAAAAUCACUAAUUAUAUAAAGCAGUAAAUUAUUCUAAGCUAUAGAAUGCAGUAAAUCACUAAGCUAUAGAAAGUAAAAAGUUUUUCUAUGCAUGCAAAUAAAGUAAUCUGGCUAAAGGGCAGUAAAUCUAUCAUAUAUGAGAAGCAAUAUAAGAUAGAAAUUUAAAAAAAAAAAAUAGAAGAUAAUUAAGCAAUUAAAGUAAAUUAAUUAACAAUAAAAAGUAAAUUAUCAAUCAGCAAAAUAAAGUAUAAAAAAUAAGAGUGCAAAAGAAGAAAAUAAUCAACUAGAAAAAUAAAGUAGUAAUUUUUUUUUUGAUUUUUUUUUCAAAACAAUUGCGUCAAGAUCUCCGACAACGGUGCUAAAAUUUGAUACGUUGUAGCAUACCAAAAUUAAUUCUACUCACUACUAUGUAGAUAGGAUGAGUCGGAAUCGUAUCUAUAGGGAUCUUAGGCCGAUUAUUUUGAAAAUACAAACAAAAAAAAUAAUAGAUUGUAAGAAACUAAGAAUGAAACAUGGAGAUUGCAAUAAAAAUAUUUUUCAUUGAUCAAAUAAAAAAGCAUACAUAAUGGAAAAGAAACAAAAGUGCGAUACAAGACAACUAAACCAGGUUGAACUUCUCACGAUACCCGAUGGUGGAUGUGCCUCCUUGAAUCCUUCAUCUUCCUUUGUGCAGACAGCGGUAGGAUGACUGGAAGGCUUGGUUUAGGAACUCGAAGGAAGAAAGGUAGAUAGAAGAGGGUAUGGGAAUAUGAAAAGAAUAGCAGCACUAGGCUUAGGACCUCUCUUAGAUUUGAUGGAAGGCAUGCUAGGGUUAGGACAUCUCCUAGACUUCUUAGGAUGUGGAGAAUGGAUCUAUGGAAGAAUAUGGUAUCGUGCUAGGGUUAGUAUCUUCCCUAGACUUAUGGAGAAGAGAAAAAGAGAGAUAGGGGCAGCAGCUUGGAGAGAAACUUAGGCGUUGGCUUGAUGAAAAGAGAGAAAGAGAAGAGCUUUGAUGGAGGAGAGGAGGAAGAGAGAUUGAAGAAGAUGAAGAACCCCACAAGGGGGCUGAGUGAUUGAGAAAGGAGGGCUAGGGUAUAUUUAUAGAGAGGAGGCUAGAGUUUCAUGAAAUGAAAGGUGAGAGCAUAAAUAAAGAUCCUUGGAUCUUCAUAUUGCUUCUCCUCCAUUGAUCAAUAAGUCGCAUUCACACUUGGAUCUUCAUGAAGAGUGAUCUUUUAAUCUGAGCCCUUGAGAUUUAGGUUAUGUUCACACUUAGUUCCAUUUAUCUUCUAAUCUGCGCUUUUGAUUGAAGAGGUUGCUUCUUGACUCUUGAUCUUUAAGUUGCAUUCACACUUGAGUAGGAGCAGGUUGCCUGGUUCACUCAAUUCUGAUCCGAUUUGAGUCCAAUUUGAAUCGUAUGAACUCAAACUCCUAAUUACCUGCAAACUAGACUAGAGAGCAUCAAAACUCAAUAAAAUAACAUCAAUUAUCAUAAUAUUUAAUGUCUCUGGUGAUUUAAAUUAAAUGUUCAUCAGUUAUACAGAUGUAGAUUGGAUAGGAUCUCCUUCAGAUAGAUGAUAUAUCUCUGGGUAUUGUGUCUUUUUUUAUGGUAAUCUUAUCUCGUGGAAGAGCAAGAAGCAGGAAGUUGUUGCUCGUUCCAAUUCUAAGGUGGAAUAUUGUGCUAUGACUUUAACCACAUGUGACCUGGUAUGGUUAAAGUCUCUCUUAGGAGAGCUUGGGGUUAUUCAGUCUGAGCCUAUGAAAUUGUUCUAUGAUAAUCAGGCUGCUCUUCAUAUUGUCUUGAAUCUUGUAUUUUAUGAGCAUACAAAGCACAUUAAGAUAGAUUGUCAUUUUGUUCGAAAAAAGCUACAGUCUGAUAUUAUUUCUACGACUUUUGUGAGCACUAAUAAUUAGCUAGUUGAUAUGUUUACUAAGUCAUUGAGGGGUCCGAGGAUUGAUUAUAUUUGUAACAAGUUGGAGCUCCAUAAUAUUUACGCUCCAGCUUGAGGGGGAGUGUUGGAAUAUUAUUAUAUUUGGAAAGAUAUAUUUGGAAAGCAUGACAAUUUCUCCAUACAAAAUAUAUCAAUUUCUCCAUCAACCGCACUAUCCUUGAUUUUGCAUCAUUUGAAUUUUUUCUUUAUUUAUUUUCCGCAAUCAUGGGAUUGUAUCUUUUCUUUAUUUAUUUUCCAUAAUCACGAGAUUUUGUGUGGAUCUUGGUGUAUUAUAUAUAUUUGCAAACUAUGCAAUAGAUCAACAAGCUUCAUCUUUUUCCCAUUUGACAAGUUUAAAGUUAUAAUUUCAUAUAUUAAUAAACUAUCAGUCAAUUGUGUAAUGCUCCAUCAACAGGUAUUUGACAUCUCUAUUACUAUCUACAGGCAAUAUUAUAUUAAUAAACUAUCAGUCAAUUGUGUAAUGCUCCAUCAACAAGUAUUUAACAUCUCCAUUACUAUCUACAGACAAUAUCUUGUAGUUUUGUGAAGUUUACUAGCUGAAGUCCUAUUUGCAGAAUUUCUCCAUCCUUGUGAGGACUCAUUUUUCUAUUUGCCUUUUCACUGCCGGUGUACUUGUACCAUUUUUUAACUUUUAUGAAAUGAUAAACUCAUUAUGACCUAGAGUAUUUAGAAAACAAUUUAUUGGAUUGGAGUAAGAUCAUUGAUCUAAAAAGGCUGAUAGAGGUGAAAGUAUGUGCAUGGAUCUAUUUUUCUGAGGGUGGAAGUUCUUUGAUGGAAAUUCAAGAGUGGUGCCAUUAAAGAUAAAGCAGUAGAUUGGAAUGCUAUAAAAUCGUGAUAAAUCAGUAGUAACUACAGAUUUAUUAGGCAAGGUUAUUGCUUAUCUUGAUGAUUUGGCAAUUAAAGAAAAUAUCUGACAUCAUUCUUUUCAUCGUAAUCAUCCUGGCAUAUCCCUUUUAACUUGUAUGGUUGCUAUCUUUCAUAUCAAGGGUCUGAUGUAUAAUUUCCAAAUUGGAUUGCUCUUAGCUUAACUAAGAUUAAUAAAAAUGGAUCAGCAACCAAAUUGGUAUUUCUUCCUACAUAGUUCUGUUGGGUUGUUUUUGUUGCUGCAAGGCUUCAAUGGACAGUCGGCGAGGUCGGUGAUGAACCGAACUGAGUUGCUUCUUGGUUGAACAUGACAGAGUUUGCGAUGAUUCCUACAAAGAUAAUCUCAAAACCGGUGAGGUAUCCUCCAGUUUAAGACCCUCCGAUAGUUAAGUCAGAUGAAGCCUUGAGGAUAGGUAGUGGAAACGAGAGAAUAGAAAGAUGAGAAAAGAGAUUGUGGGCAAAAUAGAGAGAAACUCUUGUUCUCUUCAGUGGGGGAGCUGAAAAUAAUUCAGCAGAAUCUUGGUUCUAUCCUUCCAGACUUACCUUCGGAGGAUACCUUGCCCCCUCUAUAUAGAGGAGGUGAAGAGGCCUCAUUUAGAUUGUUAGGCCAUUAGGAAAGUUUGUUACGCCGUUAGUUUGUUGUAAUAGAAUGGCCAGCUGUAUAGAGAUAGUGGGGUGUUUGCCCAUAUGGCAAUUGGCUGUAGUAUAGCUGGAAGACAGUUGGUGCUGAGUUAGAUGACAGCUGAUGCUGAGCAGGAUGACAGCUGUCGAAUGACUAUUUGCAGUUUGGUGGUACAUCGAUAAUCUAUCAACGUGACAUAGCUGAAUUCGGUAACUUACUGAACUGAGUAUCAUAUAUCUCCUUACUAUCAAUAAUCAUAUUGGCUGAAGACCGAUAUAACUCAUCGCAAAUCGGCCAACAAUCGAGGUGAGCAUUAUACUUUAAGAACAAUCCCGAGCAAAUCGGAUCAACCAAAUACCAGAUUGAAGAAGCAGAUCAAAAAAUGAUCGAUAUGACCUGAAAGAGAAUUCAUGACAGAUAAUAAUCCAUUGCCACGUAUCCAGAUGAUGAGGUCAGAUAACAUACACCAACAUAUGGCCCCCACUUUUUAGACCAAAGUGCAGUUUCUCACAUCAGGCAUGAAAAGUCUUUCCAGAAGAUCUCAUUUGACUCGUAUUAUCGUCAUAAAUACUUUGUACCAUUGAUGGUUGAUAAUAUUAAUUUUUUAAUCAUUCGAAGUGACACAUCGUUUCUCGAAAGUGGUCCGUCAGACUUAAUAAUGAUGAGCACUUAGAAAAUUAAAAAUUUAUAAUUAUUUGAGCGGCUAUUCUCUAAUGUGCGCGCGCCAAGUGUCACAAUGCAAUUGGUUGCUUUAGCUAUCACACAGAUCCUGCUUACGUGGUUUAAUCAAGAAGAGGUGCAUCGAAAUGGCUCUCUGUAGGAUCGUUAGAUGGUCGACAAAUGGCAUUAAUCCAAUGGCACAUCAAAUCAAUCUGAGCCGUUGGUAAGCUUUAUAAAUAGGCCUAUAUUUCGUUCAAAAAUCAUUUUACUAUUUUCUUUGAUGUGGAAGUCUUGCCGAAAUUUUUUCGGAACCCCCACAUCACCGGCAUCGAAGAAGAGACUCUCUCUAAAAGCAACUGGAGCCGAAAAAGAAAGAAGCAGAGAGGUUCUUUAAAAGCUUCCUCAGAUCUCUUAUUUCUCAUUAGGUAUUUAUUUUUGGCCUCCGUUCCUUGAAAAUCUGAGGUUUCGGAUUUUUGCAAUCCUCUUUCCUUUUUCUUUGGCAGCUUUUCCUCUCUUUUUUCCCUUUUCGUCCACCUUUGCUCUCUUCUUUUCCUUCAAAGAUGUCUUUCGGUAGUAGCAACAAGAUAAGUCAGGGCAAUUGGGUACCUCGAUCGACCCAACCGGUACUCAAGUUCGAGGUGGAAAGUUCAUCUGACAAUAACUAAGGUUAGUGCCUCAGGUCGAGAUAAUCCUGAAUCUCCUAAGGGAUCUUCUGGGUUAUCUCGGUCCGAGUACUAAACAAUCCAUCCUGAUUGAUCUCGACCUUCAGGAACUUAGGAAAAAAUAUCUAAUUCCUGAAGAAUUCCAACUCAUAGCUCCAGGUGGGAUGGUAGGGUUACCGAACCUCCAGAAGGUUGUGUCACAUUUUAUGAUGAGGCACUUCGGUUUGGGCUUCGAUUUUUCUUACAUCCCUUUUUCAGUAAUGUAUUUGAUUUCUAUAGACUCCGUCUAGCUCAAACCACUUUCAAUGCUAUUAGGAUGAUCAUAGUAUUCAUCAUUUGUUUUAAAUUUUCCACCAUAGACCUUAGGAUUUCUCUCUUUAGGGCAUCGUUCACCUUAAAGAAACAUCCUUAUGAGAAAGGCUGGUGGUACUUUUCACCUUGGCCUAAGUACAAAUUUGGCCUUGCUCUUCCUUCCUCAAUACAUAAUUGGAAAAAUCACUUUUUCUUUAUCUCUUCCAAUGUUCCAUGGGGUUUUAGCUGUAAAUGGUGUAAUCCUGAAAUCAAAUAAAACUCAAAUAAUGAAGUAUUAACAGAGGAUGAGGAGGCUUUUGCAGAGCUUUUAUGUAAAAAAGUACCUAAGUUGAGCUUACUGGUAUCCGACCAAUCCUUAUUUAAUGCCGGCAUCAGUCAGAUUUCUCUCCAGGAUAAGUCCAAUAUUAAUUCUCUUUCUUCGUUGCUUUGUCAUUUUUCAUCAUUUUCCUUCUUUAACAAUUUCUGUCUUUGUUAUAACGGCAAUAAUGAAGUUCAACCCGCAAAGGCUGACUGAGUCGAAGAAGAGGAAGCAGGAUCUACCCAACCAGCCUACCCUCAAGAAGAAAAUAAAGACAUUGCUCCCUCGAGAUCGGCUGCCCCCCCGAUCAUCAUUGGAGAUUAUAUCGAUCAAUACGGAUGCUGCACCGAUCUCCACUCUCCCAUCGACAAAAUCAACUCACCAAACUACCGAGGUGGUUCGUCCACCUUCAAAGGAACCUGCACACCUUAAGUAGGCAACUUCUCCAAUGCCCCCUCCAACGUCGGCCAAGUCAACUCGGCCAGCUGACCAGCGUUCUAAGUCCCAAACUCCCGAUGCCAACCUGCCAUCCUCUUCGUCGGACAAGAUCGACCUGGCGAAGGCAUCAUUACUGGAGACACCAAGAUUAGGCAGAGAUUUGUUCAGCAAGAUGAUGCCUCAGAAGGAUUUGAAUGCUCGGAGGAGGGAUCUCUCCUUGGAUCAACUAAUAAACUAGGGAUUUAAUAGUAUCAUGGAUGUGAGUUUUUACUUUUUUCCAUUCAUUUUUUUUUACAUCAGCUAUUUACUAACCUAACAAUGUCCUUUUCUGUAGUCAACCAUGUAUUUCAAGUUGCUCCAUGAGCACUUGACAUGGUUUUUUGAAAAUAAGAAGUCCCUGGAAGAGGGGCUUAAGGCCGAGAAGGAGGCCGAGAAGGCGACCAAGGAGGCCAAGAAGGUAGCAGAAAAGAAGACUACCAAAAAAAGCGAAACAAUAGAGGGGCUGAAGAAAUAGCUCCAAAAGAAGAUGGAAUCUAUAAAAAAAAAAGAAUAAGCAGCUUCUAGAUAAUCAACGCCAAAUGAAUGAUAAAGACAAUAAGCUGCAGAAACAAACUGACAAAAUCUCGGAGCUGGAGACUAAGCUGAAGGAAGCUGAGGAAACAAUUGAAAAGCGGGAAGCACCCCUUGUUUCAUAUCAGAGACAGCUCGAUAAAGACAAGGAGCGGAUAUCCAGGGUCAUUGAAGACUACAAAAAUUCCGACGCUUUUCAAGAUGAACUCAUCGAAGCUUCAGAAGGAGCCUUCGACUAUGGCUUUUUGAACUGGAGGAGUUUAAUCAUUAAACUCUUUUCUGAUCUUGAUCUUAGCAAGGUCACAAUAGAAGCAGCUCUAGAAGCAGCAGCUGAGGUGACUUUUAGGACUACUGCCGAGCAGCUUCCUCCUACUCCUACCUUCGAAGUUCCUUCGAUCGAAGUCCCGGCCAGUCCAAUCGAAGUUGUCAUUGUUGAAGCCACUCCGAAGGAGGAAGUCAACAAAGAUUCUACCUCAGCUCCUCCGGCAAACAACUCCCAGUCUAAGGCCCGAAUUGUUUCUUCUUCCCCUUUUUUUUAUUAGCCUAAAUAGCUUUCAUAUUAAUGAAAUGAAUUUUCCAAUGUUACUAUAUUCUUUCUCCUUGGAUGACCCGAGUUGGGUUUCGAUGACUUAGAAAAUAUCAUUCACAACAAAGUUAUUUUCUGACUUCGGUCAAAUGAUCAUAAAUAUAUGUGAUCUAAGCUUGAUUAAGUAAGCAACCAAAUAUUAAUCAUUUUCGAACCAAGCAAAUAACUAAGUCAAUGUGAUCUACUAUAAUAAGUUGUCAUCGAAUUGAACCAUAUCAACCAAUCAAGAGAUAAAUUGAUCUCUAAUAACUCACUGUAAAGGUUCUGAAAGUACCUUUAAUUGAGUUCAGAAUGGCAGGUCGGAUUCUUUCAUCUAUGAGUUUGUGACCCGUGCUGCCUUUUUGCAACCUUUGUUAUUAAUCGCUUUGAGCUGAAGCCCAAUUUUGGAGAUGAGGCAUCUCCGAUCAUCUCAUGAAUUCUCAUCUGGAGAUCGGAUGUUCUAUAUCACCUCGCAAGGUCCAAUCUGGAGAUUGGGUAUCUCACGUUGUCUUGUGAGGUCCAAUUCGGAGAUCAGAUGUCUCACGUCAUCUUGUGGGUCCAAUCCAGAGAUCGGGUGUCUCACAUCAGGUUGUUCUAGUUUGGUUGGGAUUCCUAUAACCCUAUUUCGACUUUCUCCCGACCUUGUUUGGACAUCUAGAUCUUUUUUCUCAUGUACUAUAUCGUCUCACUUGAUUGGGUUUUAUCAAUCUGAUUGGGAUGAGGAAAAAUUUUUCAAUGAAACUUUUGAUUAGGAUUUUAUCUUCAUUGAGACAAAUCAAAUAUUUUAUUAAAAAUUUUAUUGAUAGUACAUUCUGAAAUUUUCAGCAUUCCAUAUUCUUGGAAUGACUGUGCCAUUUAGAUUUUCAAUUCGGUAAGCUCUUGGAUAGAUCAUCUUGAUAAUCCGAUAAGGCCCUUCCCAAUUUGGAGCAAGUUUUUCUUGCUCCGUUGGUUUCGAGACUUCAACUCGUCGGAGAACCAAAUCAUCCUUAUAAAAAAUCUUAGGCUUUACCCGAGUGUUGUAAUACUUGGCCACUUCUGCUUAUAAACCGCCAUGCGGAUUUGCACUCUUUCUCGAGUUUCAUCAAGUAAGUCAAGACCAGUUUUCAACCGAUCUGAAUUUUUUUUUUAUGAAAAUUUUCUAUUCUGGUCGUAGGUAGACCGAUCUCAACUAGUAUUAUGGCUUUUGCUCCAAAAGUGAGUUUAAAAGGUAUUUCUCCAGUUGGCCUACAAGGUAUAGUUCUAUAUGCCCAGAGAACAUUAUAAAGUUUUUCUGUCCAGGGUCUUUUAGCCUCAGUGAGCCUUGUCUUCAAGCCCUGAAGGAUGAUUCUAUUAGUGACUUCGGCUUCUUCAUUUGACUGCGGAUGACCAACCGAAAUAAACUUAUGGUCUAUAGAGCUCAGAACAAAAUUUUUUAAACUUUUGAUUAUCAAAUUGCUGCCUAUUAUCAGUAAUUAUGACUCGAGGCAAAUCGAAACGGCAAAUAAUUGAUUUUCAUAUAAAAUCCCUCAUCUUUUUCUCAAUAAUUUGUGCCAGAGAUUCAGUUUCUAUCCAUUUGAUAAAAUAAUCAAUAGCCACAACCAAAAUUUUUUUCAUCCAAUGGCCAUUGGGAAGGAUCCCAGAAUAUCCAUUCUUAAUAUAGCAAAAGGCCAUAGUGCUGUCAUAGAAUUAAGUUCUACUGUAGGCUGGUAUUGAAUGUUAGCAUACCUUUGACACUGAUCGCAUUUAUUAACAAGGUCGGUGAAUCUUUUUGAAUAGUAGGCCAAUAAUAACCUUAUCGGAUUAUUUUAUAAGCUAGAGACCUGCCCUCCAAGUGAUUGUCACAAAUUUUUUCAUGAACUUCUUGAAGGAUGUAAUCGGCUUCCGACAGCCUAGGCAUCAAAGUAGCAGAGAUGAAUAUGACAUCUUAUAUAGUUGAUUGCCUUGAAUGACAUACUAUGGGGCCUAUCUUUUAAUUUUUCUUGCUUCAACCAGAUCAGCUGGCAGAGUCCCUUUAGUAAUAUGCUCCAUCAAUGGAUCAAUCCAGCUUGACUCACGUUCAAUUUGGACAAUCGGCAAAAUCUUAAUACUGGGCUUUUCAAGAACAUCAAUGAGAACACUUUGAUUAAGCUUGAAAAAAACUCGAUGUGGCCAAAUGAGAUAAUGCAUCAGCUCGGAUGUUUUUCGAUCUUGGUAUUUGUAUGAUUUCUAAAUCUUUAAAGUUUUUUAAUAAUUCUUUUAUAUUAUUCAAAUACUGAGAUAUUAUGGAAUCUUUAGCUUCAAAUUGACUUAGUACCUGAUCGACGACAAGUUGAAAAUCAGUAAAAAUUUUAAGUUCUUAACAUUGAGCUCUUUAGCCAUUUCAAGUCCCACAAUGAGUGCCUCAUAUUAUGCUCCAUUGUUUGAUGCAUCAAAAUUAAAUCUCAAGGCACGCUCAGUCACAAUGCCUUCUGGGCUUGUCAGAAUUAAAUCAGCUCCACUUUCUUUAGAAUUUGAGGCUCCAUCAACAUGUAGUACCCAAUAAGAAUUUUUUUUGACAUUCUCCAAGCUCUUCAAGAUUGGUUCUUCAUCAGGGAUAAAGCAUUCGACAAUAAAGUCAGCUAACACUUGAGCUUUUUGAAGAUCGAGGUCGAUAAUAAAUAUCUAAUUCACUUAAUUUAAUGGCCCACUUGGCUAUCUGAUCUGAAGUGUCAAGUUGCUAUAAGACUAAUUUUAGAGGUUGAUCGAUCAGAACUAUAACAGAAUAAGCCUGAAAAUAAGGUUGGAGUCAUCUUGUCGAUAUAAUGAGAGCAUAAAUCAUUUUCUCAGUUUUAGAAUAUUGAGUUUCAGCAUCUCUAAGCAAUUUACUUAUAUAGUAAAUUGGUUUCUAUAUCCCUGCAUCAUCUCGGACUAAAAUUGAACUAACAGCAUUAGCUGAAACAAAUAAAUAUAUGAAUAAUUUCUCACCUUCCACUGGCUUCGAUAAUAAUGGAGCUGUCCCAAGAUACUUCUUGAGAUCGUCGAAGGUAGCUCGGCAUUCAUCCGACAAAUUGAAGUCUUUGAUCUACCUUAAUAUUUUAAAGAAAGGAAGAUAUUUUUCAGCUGACGUGGAGAUAAACUGACUGAGUGAUGCUAUCCAUCCAAUAAGUUGCUGUACUUCUUUGAUGGAGCUCGGAUGCUUCAUUUUAAGUAGAGCUCGGAUUUUCUCAGAAUUAGCUUCAAUUCUCUUUUGAGUUACAAGAAAAUCUAAAAAUUUCUCCGAAGUAGCUCCAAAAGCACAUUUAUUGGGGUUGAGCUUCAUUUGAUAUUUUCGUAGUUUCUCAAAGAUUUCUUCCAGAUCGAUAAUAUACCGGUCUGACUAGGUAUUUUUUACCAACAUAUCAUCAACAUAGACUUUCAUAUUACGAUCAAUUUGUUACUUAAAGAUUAUAUUCACCAAGCAUUGAUAUGUAGCACCGACAUUUAUAAGACUAAAAGGAAUCAUUUUAUAGCAAUACAAAUCUCUUUCGAUGAUGAAGAUCGUACUUUCUUCAUCUUCAGAUGCCAUCCUGAUCUAAUUAUAGCCAGAAAAAAUAUUCAUGAAACUAAGCAAUUUAUGUCCUAAAGUAAGCAUCAACAAGCUGGUCAAUCUUUAGGAAAGAAAAAUUAUCUUUUGAACAAAUUUUAUUGAGAUCGGUAUAAUCAAUACAAAUCCUUCAUUUUUUAUUAGCUUUUUUAACCAUAACAAUAUUUGUGAUCCACUUCGGAUAUUGUGCUUCUCUGAUGAAUUUUGCUUUCAAGAGUUUGUCGACUUCCUCAUCUAUUAUCUUUUGCCUUUCUGGGGCGAAGCUUCUUUUUUUUUGUUGCAUCGAUCUAUGUUUCAAAUCAACAUUUAGCUUAUGCACAAUAACAUCAGCUGAGAUCCCAGGCAUAUUAGAGGUUGACCGAGCAAAGACAUCGGCAUUCAUCCAAAAAAAAGAUAUUAGUUUUUUCUUCAAGUCUAGCUUCAAUAGAGACCCAAUUUGGAUAGUCUUUUCUGGAUCAUCACCCAAAGGAAUAGUAAGAAGUUUCUCAGCUGGUUCUCCUUGAUUUUUGCUGAUAUCAACUUUACUUUCUUGAUCAUGUAUUUCAAUUGGUAGAGCUUUCAUGGGUCUUUUCAUUUUUGUGGCUAUCAAAAAGCACCGCUUAGCAAGCAUCUAGUCUUCCCGUAUUUCUCCGAACCAUAUUUAGUAGGGAAUCAGACUAAUAAAUGAUAAAUGGAGACUACAGCUUUAAGGGUAUUGAGCUCAGAUCGGUCAAGAAUAGUAUUGAAAGCUGAUGGUAUUUUGACAAUCAAAAAAGUGAGUCUCACAGUUGACUGACAAGACUCCAUUCCUACGGUGAUGGGCAGAGUGAUCUCCCAUUCCACAGCCACAAAAUUUUCAGAAAACCCAAUUAGGGGGGUGCUGACCUGUUUUAACUGAUCUGCCAUAUACAUUUUUUGAAAAGCAUCAUAGAACAUGUCAGCAGAGGUUCUAUUAUCCACCAAUAUUCUUUUUACAUCAUAUUUUGCUAUUGUCAUGGAGACGACAACAGCAUCAUUAUGAGGAAUUUGAGUUUAUCUGACAUCAUCAUCAGAAAAUGAAUUUGUGUUAUAUGUGCGCAGAUGCUUUGGGAAGCUCUCGGUUACUUUAGCUGCCCUCUCAGUCCCACCAAGAUUCGAGAUCAUGUUAAUAACUCCAGCCGUAGGUUUAUUGAGAUCAUUUUCAUUAUCGGGCUUCUAUCAUUGGUUAGUAAUUUGAUUUGCCCGAUCUUGAACAUAUUUGCUCAGGUGACCUCGGCAGAUCAGUGCUUCAAUUUCAUCUUUUAACUGCUGACACUCAGUAUCGUGGCCAUAGUUUCGGUGGAAACAUCAAUAUUUUCUCUUAUCUCUCUUUGGUAGUGGGGCCUUCAUGGGAUUAGGAUGGCGUAGAUACCCCUAAUCCUCGAUUUCCAUUAGUAUCUGAGCUCGAGGAGCAAAUAAUGAAGUAUAAAUAUCAAAUCGCCAAGGUGGGCUUUCGGACCUCGAAUUCUUUCGAGGUUGCUCAAAGUUAUUUUGCUGGUUUCUAUGGUCUUCUUCUCAGGGCCGCUUUUUCCCAUCUCUUUUUUUCUUCGCUUGAGGAGUAUGCUCUUUUCUUCUUCUUCAGCUUGAGUAUACUUUCGAACUCGGAUUAAUAUCUGCUCAUAAUUAUCUAGAUAAUUUUUAUUAAGGGAGAAGAUCAGGCGAUUGCUCCUAAAUCCUUGCUUCAAAACUGCCAUUGCAAUGGACUCAUUGAAGUUCUUUACUUCCAAUGUGGCGGCAUUAAAGCAUGCUGCAUAUUCUCGAAGAGAUACAUCUUUCUGCUGUUUGAUAGUAAAAAGACUAUUAGUAUUCUUCAGAUGAAUCCGAUUAUUACAAAAAUAUGAAAUGAAUAGUUUGGCCAACUACUCGAAAGAUGAAAUAGAUCAUGGCUAGAGGUUGGAGAACCAAAUUCUCAUAGAUUUUUUAAGAGUGAUUGGGAAAGUAAUGUAGAGUAGUGCAUUAGAUGCCCUCUGCAAUCUCAUGAUGACCCUGAAGCCUUCAAGAUAGUCUAAAGGAUCAGUGGAGUCAUCAAAUGAUUCCACCGCAGGCAUCUUGAUCCGGGAAGAAAUCGGUUCAUCAAGAAUUUCUUGAGAAAAAGGGGAUCGCAAGUUGAAAUCGCUUCCACCAUGAGAAUGGCUUCCAAUCUGUGUCUCCAUCAACUUGUUCUCAAGAUCUUGGAUCUUUUGUCCAAGACCUUCUUCCACAUUUAGCUUCUUAUGGGGAGUAAAUUUCACUUCCCAAGAUUGAUCGGUAAGAUCAAGAAAAUGAUCAUGGCGAGGAUCUUGAGGUGCUGGUUGCUGAGAAUGAUGUGAUUGAAUCAUUUGGGGGGUGGCUUCUUGUUGCCUUUCUGUAGUACGCUGGAGUUGUUAUACUGCAGCAGUAAGAGCUUGGACCUGCUAGAUCAAGAGAUUGAAUUGCUGUGGAUCAAUAGUAAUUGAUAGUUGGACAUUUUCUUGACCAUCUCUAGGAAAAGAUGAAGCAGGUAAAGGCUGAUUCGGUGUUUUCUUGUUCACCAUGUCCAUAAGAAAUUUUCAAAGUGCCCUCCUAACGCCAAUCUGUUGCUACAAAGCUUCAGUGGACAGUCGACGAGGUCGGUAAUGAAUCAAACUAAGUUGCUUCUUGGUUGAACCCGAUGAAGUCUGUGAUGAUUCCUGUAAAGACAGUCUCAAAAUCAAUGGGGUGCCCUCCAUUUUAAGACCCUCCGAUGGUUAAGUUAGAUGAAACCUUGAGGACAGAUAGUGGAAAUGAGAGAAUAGAAGGACGAGAAAAGAGAUUGUGGGCAAAAUAGAGAGAAGACUCUUGUUUUUUUCAGUGGGGCUAGCUGAAAGUGAUUCAACAAAGUCUUGACUCUAUCCUUCCAGACUUACCUCCGGAGGAUAUCUUACCCUCCUUUAUAUAGAGAGGGUGAAGAGGUCUCGUUCAGGUUGUCAGGCCGUUAGGAAAAUUUGUUAGGCUGUUAGUUUGUUGUAAUAGAAUAACCAGCUGUAUAGAGAUAGUGGGGUGUUUGCCCAUGUGGCAAUUGGCUGUAGUAUAGCUAGAAGACAGUUGGUGCUGAGUUGGGUGACAGCUGACACUGAGUUGGAUGACAGUUGCCGAAUGACCGUCUGCAGUUUGAUGGCACGUCGAUAAUCUACCGACGUGGCAUAGCUGAAUUCGGUAACUUAUUGAAUUGAGUAUCAUAUAUCUCCGUAGUAUCAAUAACCAUAUCGAUUAAAGACCGACAUAACUCAUCGCAGAUCGGCUAACAACCGAGAUGAACAUUAUACUUUAAGAACAAUCCGGAGCAAAUCGGAUCAACCGAAUACCAGAUUGAAGAAGCAGAUCGAAAAAUGACCGAUGUGACCUGAAAGAGAAUUCAUGACAGAUAAUAAUCCAUCACCAUGUGUCCAAAUGAUGAGGUCGGAUAACAUAUACCAACAGUUUUAAAUAAAUAUCCUAAUUUUAUAGGAAAUAAUCCAACAAGCCAAUAAAUUAAAAAGCAAAGAACCUGAUAGCUUUUUAUUUUCUCCUAUACUGUAGAUUUUUAAACUGUAAUUAAGAAGCAUAAAUGUGCACUUACAAAAAUUUAAUUUGUAAUUCUGAGACAUAUAUUGUAUUGACCUAAGUUGAUGCAUAUUUAUAUCAUGAGUUGUUGUUUGUAAGGAAGUUGUGUGGUUAUUCCCUUCUCCUGACCUGAUGAAGGAUAAAUGUUUCAUAGAAUAAAUACGGAUGCUUGCACAUUCAGAUAUAUAUUAUGUCAGCCAAAUCAGAUCCUCUCGAUCUGGAGAAUUCAACAGUCUAUAAGUAUCCAUCACCAAUACCCUCACUGAUAUCCAGACAGUAUGGUUUUAGUAAUAGAAUCUAAGGAGAAUAGGACUAACCCUAAAUUUUUCCAAUACAAUACAGAGCACAUCCACUGACACAUGUCACAUGUAUUUUGAGAGAAUUCAUAGUUUACAUGUCAAGAUCUGUUCUUAGAAGGAAGUGAUUCAUACUUAAGAGUAGAAACUUUAUUGGAACAUUUUAUUUUCUGAAAGCCACUGCAAUACUAAAGCUGUUGAUGCUUCAGUUUUCAGUUGGUUCUCGAUGCAUUUGCUCAUCACCCAUUGACAAGCUUGCCAUACUAGAGACGAGGGAGUAACAUAACGUUUAGGUUGUACCUAUUCUUGAACUCAAGCUCAGUUGCUUCUUGGAAGCAUAGUAUUUCACCAAGUGUUAAUAUGAAAGAGUUGCAGGUUCUGGUCGAUGCUUUAUUUCCUAUUUGAGUAGAUAGAGAAGCUUUGGAAGAAUUUUAUUUACAAGAAUCUGGUAUCCUUUCUCUGUAGGAUGAUCGGGAUCCCAAAACAAAUACUUAGUGGCAUCUGGGCAUGUUAAUUGACUCAAAUUGUUGGGCAGAAUGGUGCCUACAAUUUUCCCUGGAUCAAAGCACCCCUUUGUUACUUCCUCAAAUCCUGAAAAAAAAAAUCACAACUUCAAGGAAGAUGUAAUAAGUGUGAUUUUCUCAAUUAAUAAUCAUUGAUGAUGCCAAUGAAGACCAUUCAUCAUCUGAAGAAUAUAAACUACUGCAGAGAGCAUCUUCUCGGUGGAACCUAUUGAUCACCUUGUCAACUACAAUAUGCUGCCUCCCAAAAGGUGACCCUUGAAUGUUAAGCGAGGCCCCAUUUGGUAGCUUGGUCAAUAGUACAGAAUAAGCUUCUUUGCUAAAUAGAUACAAAGGAUAAACGUGAUUAGUACAUUUACAUACCGUAGUCAUAAGGAUGCAUAAUAAGUUCAAGCAAUGGAUUAUAGACAUCAAUGUAGACAAUCUUGGCCCCUGGAUGGUAGGUGGCUAGCCUUUCCACUUCCAUGGAUAGCUCACUAUUGAACUUGAUGGAAGCUUGGUUAUAGGCAUCCACACAAUCCCUGGCAAUUCCUCCUCUUAGAGUUCUUUGUGCAGGCAGACAACCUAUAGGAGGAACACCCACCACACCAAUCUUACGAGGUCCCAAAUUGUACAGUUCCUGCCAAUGAGAAGAAUUUCUCAGUCCAAAAUGAUGAAGCUGUCUUAUGUUUUAUGUGCUUUCGUUCCUUGUGUUGAUGUGAUUCAUAGAAUCAAGGAAUCAUCUAUGAGUGCUACUGUAUACUAGAUGGUCACUGUAACCUAUGUAUCCACUGGGGAGUGUAGAUGUACCUUUAGAAAGCUUGAUGCUGCUUGAAGCACGAAAUUGAUGUAUGAAGGGAGAUCAUAGCUCAGAGCUCUGAUAGAGCUAGUGAAAUAUGUGUUCAUUAAAUCAUCGGUCCCAGCAAAUAUAAUGCAUACACCUUCUGCGACUAUAUCAACUGCUCUAUCUUCACCGACAAUGGCUUGUAACUCUCUCUUGUAUUCUUCGAACAUCUCUAGCUGAUCCCACAAUGAGAAAACUGACUGAAAGUGGCAAAAGGAACAUGAAAAUAUCAUUUUGGCUUCUACAAAUCAUGACAAACUCAUCCAAUUGCGAUGGCUAUUGAUCAUAAAACAAUUGCUCCUAUAAAACAAUAUAUGAAUAUAAGAAUAACCAAUUCAAACUCUACAGCAGAAGCUAUUCAAAUUAACUCUAGGAUCAAGCAAAAGUGAACCAUUUGGACUGCAGUUUAGUGUAAUGCAAGAAAAUAGAAAAGCUAGUUGUCUAGCCCUUUCUUCAGUUGUUCCUUCAUUGACCAAACAAACAAUUUUAGAAUUCCAAGUUAUUCAGGCAUGGUCUUCUUCUUCUUCUUCUCUUUCCUCCCCUAAUUUUGCACGAGAAGGUUGUUCUUAUUAAGUAUCUUUUUCUUUGAUUUGAAAUCACAAUUUCAUUUUGUGUUUAUCUGGUUUGUUUCAUUACUUUGCAAUUUUUUCUUGAUCUUUACAAGAUAAUUAUUGAUCUUAGAAAUGACUAGGGUUUUAAAAUUUUUUGGAAGUCCAAGCAGAAAAUAUGGAAAAGCAAUCAGCACUGACCUGCACUCAAGAACCAAGUGACUUGAAAGGAUGGGUGAAUGUAGAUGUUUUGGUUUUAAGGAAAGCUAAUUCUUUAAAUGGCACACCUUCAAGUGGUAAGUUCUAUAAAGUCAGUGCACUAAAGUACUUUUUAUAAGUCAAUGGAAGAAAAGGAAGUGCUUUUAUUAGAAGUGGAAUAAAUAAAGUAUGAGGCUAACAAAGUUAAAAAAUUUAUACCAGUAAUUCAGCGGUAAGGUUAUCAUAUCCUGCACCACCAGAAGCAAAGCUUACACCAGUGAGCAGGUCUUGUUCCUUUACGUCUGGGUCAAGAUACGCCGGCAAAAGCUCCUUUACUCCCAGCAGAGAUGCUGAUUUGAUUAAAUGACAGGAAGGAACGAUGCAUGAUCAAAUUCUCAGAUAGAUUCUAAAUUUUAGACAGUCAGUACAUGGAGAAACUAUGAAUAUAUUCUUUGUUGGGUUAUAAAAUAUGUAUUGUUAUUGCUUUACCAAUGAAGUCCGUGGGGAUCUUUCCAUUGCUGAACCUUCCUGUUGCUCUGUGUCCUAUGAAGUCCCUUCCAUAUGGAGGGAAGUUGCUCUUGGCAAUUGUCAGGAGCAUGUUGUUGUUGCCUGGGUCGUCAAUGGAGUCUCCAAAUGCAAAGACUGCCGGCACUCGAACUGCUGUCUGGUCUGGGACCAGUGCUUGGGAUUGGAUUAUUGGUAGUGUGACGAAGAGAAAGCAAAUGACAGAAUACAUUCCCAUUAGAAAGCUGAGCUGCUUUUCUGUGCUUGUUUUCUUAUUGCAGAACAUAUUCAUGCAUUAUAUAGUGAAACAAAAGAGACAACCCAACUAACACAGCAUGUUGCCAUUUACUCUCUUGUCAAGUUUUGUAUUAGAGAUCUGCUCUACUCUGCAGUUAGUUUUUGUAUUAGAGACCUUGGUCCAAUGAGGAUUACACUGCUUGGGUUGUAGGGAAGUGAAACCCUCAACAGAGGCCCUUCUCUUUUUUUUUUUUUUUGGUUAGAAAAGUCGCUGGUCUGCUUGGCCAACCCUUAGCCACAGAAGUCCAGAGAAGCGUUUAAUGGGAGCAUUUAAUUUCCUGAUUGGAUUUGAACAAAGCAGUGAUAUCUCAACCCCCAACAGACUUCCAGUUCCAGUAUUUUUGUGUUAAGCUUAUCCAUAUUGAGUCAUCAUACUACCAAAACAACUUUUGAAUGUAUCUUGAUCGGAAGUGUUAGUACUGCACUAAGGUGGUUAUUUUCUUUAGUAGUAUUUGAAUUUUUGUGCCGUUAGUUUGUUGAGAUGUCAACUUUAAGUGAUGAAACUUUGUGAUAUUUCAUGUAUGGUGCUUCAUAACGGUGGAUUUAAGGCAGCACUGCAUGAACGGUAGUUAUAAAGCAUUACGGUGGAUUUAAGUCAGCACUGGAUGUAUAAAAAGAACCCAGUAAUGGGAAAGUUGUAUGCUAGUCAUUAGUUUUUUAGUAACCCAUUAGUUCAUAGUCAAUUGAGACACACACGCGCGCGCGCGCGCGCGCGCACAAAAAAAAGGAGGAAUAUGAAUAAUGUGCAAUAAGCAAAAAGGAAUCAUUAAAACUGGAGCUGUGGUGGAUGUAGGACAUUAUCAGAUUGGUGGAGCUUAAAAGGAGGUUUUAAAGUAGAGUGCUAGGUAUUUGUAUAGUACGCAAUGAACUUUUUCUUAGAUGGUAGUGUACCCUCAAUUAUAUCCCCACCGCUCAAUUAGUUGGUGCAAUAUUGGAGCAAUUAUUUUUUUGGGAGAACAGGGGAGGCAAAAUAGCCACCCAGAAGUUUAUUAGAGAAGAAAAAAUGGGUAGUGUUAAAGAAGAAGUGUACAGAGACUCAGGUAGUAGAUUAACAGCAAGAAUAGGGCAAUAACCGAAUUCUGUGUCGCAGCAUGGAACUAGAUCAGAUGAUUCAUUUACGCAUCACUUGCUAUUUCUCUUUUCACUUCCUGUCUAAUCUUUUGAUGCAAAUCCAAUUAUCAGAAGAGCAUCUAAUUGUCUGAAUGCUUCAAUAAUUCUUUGUUUCUAGGUUUGCAUGACUGCAAGUGGAUUAUAUACAUUUCUAUCCAGUUCGAGUCUAUCCAGACUAGUCUGUCGCAGACUUUUAUUAAGAAGGAUAUUGCAGCAGCAUGACCUAUUUGCAAAGAUUCAAAGUAUGAAGUUCCCUCCAGCACAUGCAGAGAUGGAGCAAAUUCCUGCUGUCAAUCCAAACUAGAAUUCUUGUCCUGUAGGCUGAUUUUGGGGCCCCAAGCCUACAUCUGAUGCUCAAACUAGAUUUCAUUUUGGCAGAUGUUUCUUUGGUCGGGAAGAUCGGACAUGACACAUGGAGCCUGGUCUCACUACCUGCUAGAUUUGAGACAAAACUAGAUGAAUUCUGGGUUAUGCUAGGCCUGCAUCUUGCAAGAACAUACUUGAAUUGCACUUAUGAGUUGAGUCCCUGUGUUUGUUUAUUUUAUAUUUGAUCAUUUUGCUUCCUCAGUUAAUGUACAUCAGAAGAGAUUUUUCAAUAUUUAUCUGGAUGAGUUUCAUGCUUCCUUCCUGCAUUAGAUCCCGAUGUUGGAAGAUAUACCAUCGAGUAGAAUCAUCAUUUGCUUUG